CGCUCACCUGUGCCGAUGUCACAGCGGCUCGCGGUCCGUUUUCCCAGCAUGCAUCAUUCACAGACACAGAACUUCAGCUGUAAUGACUUCAGGUAAAACCACCUGCUGCCCCCUGCUGGCCGGAGCCUCCAUUACAGUCUGCAGAGUCAGCAAAGAAAAACUGAAAUAAACGUUCGGAGUCUCAAAGGCAUUCAAACAUGAAUAAAGCCCCGCCCCCUAUUUUCUUACUAGUCUUCAUUUUGAGCUUCAGCUUCAGCAGGUUUCCAGAGUGGCUUUUCAUUCGUUUGUCUUUUUUCCAAUAUCACUGUAUUUAUGACAAACGCCAGAUUUAUAAAAUGCAGCAAAGAUAUUCGAACACAAUAAACACGCCCAUAAAGGAAUUUUAUCAAAUUAACAAAUAAAAACAAUAAAUGUAGUUUAGCUGAGUCCACAACAUGGUUUCAGUUGUUAGGGAGCUACAGUGUUUGUGUUUGUGAGGGCCUGAGACGCUGAGGCAGAACUGCACCUGACAGCAGCUCCACAGCCACACCUGCUGGACACCUUCGCUACUGUCACAUCUGGAUUACAGUACACUGUGACACAGAGACCCACGGGGUCCUUUUUACAUCUGUAACCAUCAAUAAUUCUGAUCAGCAGUCUCCAAAACACCUGCUGAAGGCUGAGCCUCAGUGAAGUGCGGUAACAUCGCAAGGCUGAUCUCUUUUAGGAAACUCGCCUCUCCGUCAGCCUCCACUCAAGCCGUCUGCCUCCCGGCACCGGACGGGUAAUCUGGCAUACCAGGCAGAUUACCUGCUGUGAGCCGGACAGCCCGUUGGUUCAUUUCCAUUACUGACGCUGGACUGAAGGACAGAGAUCAGGGCGGGAGAAGCGACGGACAAACAACGCUGAACUGUGACAGUAGGGCUAGGCCAGCUCUGUUCUAGGAGGCCCUCUGGACCCAGUGGAGGUGGUGAGUGACAGGAGAACGGCGGCUAAGCUGUCAUCCCUGAUGGACAACAUCUCCCACCCCAUGCAGCAGACUGUGACAGCACUGAGCAGCUCCUUCAGUGGGAGACUGCGGCACCCACGGUGUGGGACGGAGAGAUUUCGCAGGUCUUUCCUCCCCACUGCUGUCAGACUCCACAACAAAGACUUUAACUGAUCAAACACAUCCACACAUGUGCAAUACUUUUCUGGCAUCGUAUUUUUACUCAGUUGUAUAGCAUUUGUAUUCUAUUUUUAUCUUAUUGUAUAUUUUAUUCUAUUUUAUUCUAAUGUAUAUAGUAUUUAUUCUAUUCUAUUCUGUACUGUAUUUAUUCUUAUUGUAUUCUAAUUUUUGCUUCAUAACUUUUGCACUGUCCACUUCCUGCUGUGACAAAACAAAUUUCCCACGUGUGGGACUAAUAAAAGUUAUCUUAUCUUAUCAUACCGCUCACGGUAGCACCGGUGUCAUGUUGGGCAAUGAUAGGAAAAUGAAACAUGGCGAUAGAAUAUGGGUAAAACGUGCAUGCGCAGUGCCUUUGUUUUCAUACGCACACGGCGGAAAAAUCAUGGCGGCGACGCAGAAUGAGGAGGACGAAAGUGGAUCGUUGAAUGAAACGGAUGAACCAGAACUGGUUUGUAAAAAUGCUGCAGCUUCACUGGUGUGGAACUGGUUUAGCUUUCGUCCGUCAGAUACACAACAAAGCACUAUUUUUGGUGGAGCAUGCUAGCGGGCCGCCGUUAUUACCGUGUUGUUUGGAAAAUACGGCGCACUUAAAAUCUGAAAAGUCGACAGAGCCCCUUAUAAUCCCGUGUGCCUUAUGUAUGAACUCUGGUUGUGUUUACUGACCUCGAAACGAUUUUAUGUGCACGGUGCUCGAAAAUCUGUCAGAUGUUUCAGUACGACUUUGCUGAGCUACGAAGCCGCACCGCUUGAUGGAUUGUUGGAGCGUUACGGCUAUCGUAGGCGGAGCCUCGCGGAGUGAUACGUAGUGUGCUUCAACAUAAUAUAGACUAUGUGCACGUUAGCAUAUGCUACUUCCGGUGUGGAAACUCCUGUGGGGAGCUGUGUUUCCGGUGUCCUAUUCGCGCCUGGUUUACGGUCCAAAACAAGUUAAGCAAAUGAAUCAAGCGGCGAUUUACAUUUCUAUAGAUGUCUCGGGCAUUUACCCAACAUAUCUGUAAAUGAUGUUCAUCGACUUGUUGAUAUUUCCCCCGCGCCUCAGAGCAAAAGAGAAAAGGGAUUCAAAUGUUAUAUUUCUCAGCUGUCCCUCGUUUAUCGCGGGUGUUAUGUUCUAAAAAUAACCAGCGAGAGGUGAAAUCAAGGAGCCGAUUUUAUUUUUGACGAUGCAAAACGUUUGGUGGACAUCGUGGACAUACAGCACUGCACUGCAGAGUCACACUGCUAGCAUCGAUGCAGCAAUUCUGUGCUGUACAGGAGAGACAGAGGAGAUCGUCUGCAGCGAUCAGGACGCAGGACACAAUGUGCUGUAAAAAUAAGCAAACUUGCACUAAAAAAUCUGAAACAGCGAGGUGAAAGGUGAAGCGCGUUAUAGCGAGGGACCGCUGUAAUUUUGAAGGUAAGUCACAACAUACCCUUCCUACAUACUAAUGUAUAGAAACCGUUACCAGCAGUCAUUCGUUUUUUGUGUGGCUUUUUUCACGGUUUGUUAACAUGCUGUGUAUCAGAAUCAGAAUCAGAAUACUUUAUUCAUCCCGAGGGAAAUUAGGGUUACAGCAGGCAGCACGCUAAUGGCGCAUGCGCACUCACAAAGGAACCUUCUGACCAACUUUACACAAACAUCACAUUGGGCAGACAUGUCAGAAAGGUAGGCUGAUAGGAAAAAAACAACGAAAAUACACUACAUGAGGUGAGAGGAGGAGAAAAAAAAACUCCACUCAGACUGAGCUCCUGGUGGAAGAACAGUUUGAUAACAGAAAAAACACCUCAGCACAAAAGCACAUGACUAUCAAUACACCAUAGAAACACGAGACAAGCAACAGGGGCGGGUAAAGGGUAAGAGAGAGCCGGCGUAGACAGCGCAUCCGGUCCUGCAGCAUCUGUGCUGGUCCAGUUGACUGCUAUCAUCCCCGGUAGGGCACAAGCAUCGAAGGCGUUGGAAAGGGAGGGGGAUGAGUGAGUGCUUAUCAGUGUAAGUGUGUGUGUGUGCGUGUCCAUAGUUUAGCUGAGACAGUGUCCUUCGGCCUAUCAGGCUAAGUAAACAGUCCUCCAGCCAAUCCAGGUGUCCUUCAUGGGGCGGGAAGAAUAGUCAUCACACAGUCGUUAUCAGGGAGUUGUUUUGGUGGGCUCCAGCCUUGGGCCUGCAGCUGGCGCCGUGGUGUCCAAAUGUUGAAUAUUGUUGAUUUCUCCUUUGUGAGCAGCUCGAAUUCUAGCACUCCGAGGCUGGUCUCUCGAGCUCCC
ensembl:lncRNA